CUUAUAGUCUGUAUGUGACAAUUCACAGCCACAAAGAUGGUCCCUCUCAGUUACCUGCUGUGUGUGAUUAUGCUUUAUAUUCAGGGAUCCUAUGGACAGAUUGUGAUGACUCAGACUCCAAAGUCAGUUACUGUGUCACCAGGAGAAACUGUCACCAUGACAUGUACAUCUAGUACUGAUAUACGCAGCUACCUGAACUGGUACCAACAGAAACCAGGACAACCUCCAAAUCUUCUUAUCUAUUAUGCAAGCAGCAGACAGCCUGGGAUCCCAGACCGGUUCAGUGGCAGUGGGUCUGGAACCAGUUACACUUUAACAAUCAGUGCAGUGUUAGCAGAAGAUGCAGCAGAUUAUUACUGUCUGCAGGGUUACAGCUCCCCUCUCACAUAAGUGCUGUGGUACACUUUUGGUGCUGGAACCAAGGUAGAAAUCAAACGAGCAGAGGAUGCUAAACCAUCAGUCUCUAUAUUCGGUCCCUCAGAGGAACAGAAGGCAACAGGAAAAGCAAGCAUUGUGUGCUUGGUCAGUGACUACUACCCAAGAGAUGCCAAAGUGCAAUGGAAGGUAGACAAUCAGGUGAAGUCUUCAGAAGUGGCUACAAGUGAUGAGACAGCAGAUGAUAAGAGCUUGUUCAGUAGAAGCAGCAUUCUGACUCUAUCUUCAAGUGAAUAUAGUAGUCAUGAAACUUUCGCUUGUGAGAUAACACAUAAAACAUUAUCAACACCACUGAUCACAAGCUUCAAGAAAUCAGAGUGCUAAAUGUGAUAGAUUCAGAAAGUUCAAUUCGUACGACUUAUUUCUAGAAAUUCUUUUUAUUUUCUUUCUUUUUGCUAUUUAAAUAUCCACGUACAUCAUCAUCUCAUGAAUGACCCUGCGCACUCAGUUCAUGUGCAAUGCAAGACAGGUUGAGAUUGUCCUGUAACAAGUUGCAGCAAACAUUGUCACAGUUGUUCGCAAUGUUCUAUAUUAUUGUAAAGCUUUUGAAAUUCAAGUCAAAUAUUUUUUUCAUCUAUCUAUAGAGAAAAUUAAUAAAAAAAUAUUCUGCUUCAUAUUUA